AGAGAGAAAUUCCAGAGAGUUUCUUCUUAUUAAUUCUUUCAGAGAAUUUCUUGCAGAGAAAUUUUCUACUUCUAUCCUUCUGCAUUACCUCCCUUUAUAUAGGAAAGGAAAUGAGAAGGAGAAUAAUAAGGGAGGGGACAAGAUGAGCAAAUAAAGGGGAAAAGGAAGUUAAGGGAAAAGAGGGAGAGAAAAAGAACGGAUGAAAAACCCUCAUCAUGAGGGAAUCAUCUUUUUCUAACACUUCCCCUGAUUCCCUAUGAUAGAAGAUUAUGUCUCAUUAAAAACCUUGUUAAGAAAACCCAGUGGGAAAAACUUAACGAAGGGAAAAAGAGUACAUAUCUUUUACAUAAAUAUCUAUUAAUUGACUGCCUCGUUAAAACCUUGUCAGGAAAAACCCAUUGGGAUAAAAACCGUGACUAAGGAAAAAGAGUACAGUCUUCCCCUCAAAAGGAUUUCAUUACUCCUUGAUGAAAUGUUAUCAUAAGUCUUUCAGUCGACACAUUCCGAUCCUUUUCCGAAGUUUUGCAAACGUUGCAUUUGGUAGCGACUUUGUGAAUAAGUCGGCUAGAUUAUCACAUGAUCGAAUUUGAUGCACAUCUAUAUCACCCUUCUUUUGUAGCUCAUGUGUGAAGAAGAAUUUAGGUGAAAUGUGCUUUGUUCUAUCUCCCUUGAUGUACCCUCCUCUAAGUUGAGCAAUGCAUGCAGCGUUAUCCUCAUACAGAAUUGUAGGAAUGUCUUUGAUUGAUGGUAAUCCACAUGAUUUUUGAAUAUGCUGAAUAAUUGAUCUCAACCAAACACACUCUCUGCUUGCUUCAUGUAUAGCGAGAAUCUCUGAGUGAUUUGAAGAUGUAGCUGUCAUGGUUUGCUUUGUGGAUUUCCAGGAUAUAGCCGUGUCACAAUAUGUAAAUACAUAACCUGUUUGUGAUCUUCCAUUGUGUGGAUCUGAUAAAUAUCCUGCAUCGGCAUAUCCAACCAAUUGCGACGUUGAAUUUCUUGGAUAAAAUAACCCAAGAUCUAUACUUCCACGGAGGUAUCUCAAAAUGUGUUUGAUCCCAUCCCAAUGUCUCUUAGUCGGAGAAGAACUGUAUCUUGCUAACAAGUUGACAGCAAAAGUAAUAUCAGGUCGUGUACAGUUUGCAAGAUACAUAAGAGCACCUAUUGCACUUAGGUAUGGAACUUCAGGUCCAAGAACUUCUUCCCCACUUUCUAGAGGCCGAAAUGGAUCUUUAUCAACUUCUAAAGAUCGAACAACCAUCGGGGUAGUCAAAGGAUGAGCUUUAUCCAUAUGAAAACGACUGAGAAUCUUUUCAGCAUAUGUGGAUUGAUGAACAAAAAUUCCAGAUGCUAAAUGCUCCACUUGUAUUCCCAAACAGAAUUUUGUCUUUCCAAGAUCUUUCAUUUCAAAUUCAUCUUUUAAAUAAGUAGCAGUUCUUGUGAGUUCUUCAGGAGUACCUACAAGAUUCAAAUCAUCCACAUAUACAGCAAUGAUGGAAAAUCCACUUUGUGAUUUCUUAAUAAAAACACAUGGACAUACUUGAUCAUUUAUAUAUCCAUCUUUUAUUAAAUAAUCACUAAGUCGAUUAUACCACAUACGACCAGACUGUUUCAACCCAUACAAUGAGCGUUGUAACUUGAUUGAAUAUAUGUGACGUGGCCUUUGUGAUUCAGCCAUUUUCAAUCCUUCAGGGAUUCUCAUGUAAAUCUCAUUAUCAAGUGAGCCAUAUAGGUAUGCAGUUACAACAUCCAUUAGACGUGUUUCCAAAUCUUCCACGGUUGCCAUACCUAUCAGAAAGCGAAAAGUGACUCCAUCCAUUACUGGAGAGUAUGUCUCCUGAUAAUCAAUACCAGGUUUUUGUGAAAACCCUUGAGCUACAAGUCGGGCUUUGUAUCUCACAAUUUCAUUUUUCUCAUUUCGCUUUCGUACAAAUACCCAUUUGUUUCCAACCGGGAUUACACCCAGCGGUGUUUGGACUACUGGUCCAAAUACUUCUCUUUUCAAUAGAGAUUGUAGCUCAGUUUGAAUAGCAUCUUUCCAUUUUGGCCAAUCUUUUCUUUUCCGACAUUCUUCCACGUUUUGUGGUUCAGGAUCCGUGUCAGGAAUCAAAGUAAUAUCUGAUGCUAUAGAGAAAGCAAAUAUAUCAUCAAUCAUGACUUUGCUUCGAUCCCAUAUUUUCUCAUCAUGUACAUAAUUUAUUGAGAUCUCUUGGUGUUCAUCUCUUAUCCCUUCACUGAGAUUUUGAACCUCUUCUGGGGCUAUUCCCACUCUUGGAAUAAGUGCUACUUCUGGAGCGGGUAUUCCUUCUGGGAUUCCCUUAUUUGCUUUUGAUUUUCGUGGUACAGUGUCUUUUGCACCAACCGGUCUUCCACGCUUCUGGCGUGGUUUAGAUUCUUCUAUUACCUUAUUCGUCAAUUCUCCAGGAAUUGAUUUUUCAAUAGGUAUUUCUAUCCUUGCUGGAGUAUUCACUGCAGGUGUAUGUGACUUUAUCACUUUUCUAGCAUCAUUAAAUGCAUCUGGCAUUUGAUUUGCAAUAUUUUGUAAAUGAAUAAUUCUUUGAACUUCAAUUUCACAUUGUCCUGUACGAGGAUCAAGUGAAUUUAAAUCUGAUGCAUUCCAUGAUAUUUCAGAGGGUUUUUUAUUUAAAACUUUCCCUCCUCCUAAUGUUGGAAAUACAGAUUCAUCAAAAUGACAAUCUACAUAACGUGCAGUAAAAACAUCUCCAGUUAAAGGUUCAAGAUAUCUGAUAAUAGAAGGAGAAUCAAAACCAACAUAAAUACCUAUUCUUCGUUGGGCUCCCAUCUUAGUUCUUUGUGGAGGUGCAAUUGGAACAUAUACUGCACUUCCAAAAACUCGAAAGUGUGAUAUGUUGGGUAUCUGUCCAAGAACUAACUGUAGAGGAGAAAAUUUAUGAAGAGCCGUUGGUCUUACUCGAAUGAUGGCUGCAGCAUGAAGAAUUGCAUGACCCCAAACUGAGGUAGGUAAGUUAGCCCUUAACAUUAAUGGUCGUGCAAUUAGUUGAAGUCUUUUUAUUAAAGAUUCAGCUAAACCAUUUUGUGUAUGAAUAUGAGGAACAGAAUGCUCAAUGGAGAUUCCAAUAGUCAUACAAAAAUCAUUAAAAGUCAUUGAUGAAAAUUCAGCUGCGUUAUCAAGUCGAAUUGACUUGAUUGGAUGAUCCGAGAACUGAGCCCGUAACUUGAUUAUUUGAGCAAGAAGUUUUGAGAAGGCAAAAUUUCGAGAAGAGAGAAGACAAACAUGAGACCAUCUAGUUGAAGCAUCUAUUAAAACCAUGAAAUAUCGAAAUGGGCCAGACAAUGGGUGAAUAGGUCCACAAAUGUCUCCUUGAAUUCUCUCUAGGAAUUUUGGGGCUUCUUUAUAAACUUUUACUGGUGAUGGUCGAACAAUUAAUUUUCCUCGAGAACACGCAGCACAAGGAAAUUCACUACUAGGAAAAACCUUUUUAUCUUUGAGAGGAUGACCAGUAGAAUUUUCAAUAAUACGACGCAUCAUAGAAGUACCUGGAUGACCGAGUCUUUCAUGCCAAAGCAUAAAGGAUUUGGGAUCUAUGAUUUUUGGAAUCAUAACAGUAUGAGACUCAAUUGCUCUAAUUUUCAUAGUAUAUAAUCCAGAAGAAAUUGAAUGAAGUUUUUCUAAGAUAUUCUUUUUUCCAGAAAUAGUAGAAGUAAUGAGAAGAUAUUCAUUAUCAUUCUCAUUGGUUGUUUCAAUGUGAAAACCAUUUAGUCGAAUAUCUUUAAAACUAAGCAAAUUUCUUCUUGAUUUACUAGAAUAUAGAGCAUCUUUGAUAAAAACUUGUGUCUCAUUUGGUAGCAAGAAACUAGCUUUUCCAAAUCCCUCGAUUAAAUUUGAUGUGCCAGAGAUAGUUCCUACAUUUCCCUUAGCUUUGAUCAGUUGUGAAAAAUAUUUCUCAUUUCGAAGGAUUGUAUGAGUUGUUGCACUGUCUGCUAAACAUAUAUCCUCCAUAUCCAUUAAAAAUGGUCUGACACAUAUAAAAACAUAAAUAAGAAAAGUUACAUUUCAAAUAUAAUUUUAUUCAUGAGAAACACAUACCACAUAUAGAAUGAAAACUAAUAAUAUUAUACAUGCAGGGUGUUUAAUUAAAACAAGAAAUUAAACGAUAUCCCAAAAGAUACUUUCAGAAGGUUCAGUAAUAUCAACAACCUUUUCCUCAUUGUUGGUCAUUGGUGGAACAUCAACAAUAUUCAAUUGAUGAUUAACAAAGUUUGUUUCUGCCUCCAUUACUUUGUUCUUUUGAGACUCCUGGAAUAAAUUAACCAGAUGCCUCGGCGUACGACAGGUACGCGACCAAUGCCCAUUCAUCCCACACCUAAAACAAACAUCUGGUUUGUUCUUUAUCUGUGUUGCAUUUUCUUUAUUUUUACCCGACCCAGACACUUGCCACUUCUGGUGGCCUGAAUUGUCGCGGUUCUGGAAUUUGUUGUUAUGAUGGCCUCGUUUAUUCUUUCGUCCCCAAGGCUUCUUAUUAUAUGACCAUCUCUUGUCACGUUUAUUCUGCUGGAAUGACGUGCUGUUAAUAUCUGGCAAUGGGGUAGCACCCGUUGGCCGUACUUGAUGGUUUUUCAACAACAAUUCAUUAUUCUUUUCUGCAACAAGGAGGAUAGACAACAAGUCACUGAAUUUUGUGAACUUACUCUGUCUAUAUUGUUGUGACAGAAUCAUGUUGGUGGGAUGAAAAGUUGAGAGUGUUUUUUCUAACAUUUGGGAUUCAGAAACUGGAUCUCCGCACAAAGCCAAAGUAGAGGUUAUUCUAUAAACAUUAGAACUAUAUUCUGUAAUUGAUUUGUAAUCUUGUAGCCUUAAAUUAAGCCACUCAAAUUUGGCAUUAGGGAGAACAACCAAUUUUUGGUGGUCAAAUCUUUCCUUCAGUUGUGUCCAUAAAGACAAAGGAUCUUUGACUGUCAAAUACUCAGUCUUUAAUCCUUCAUCAAUAUGAUGACGAAGAAAAAUUAUGGCUUUUGCAUUCUGUGCCGAAGUAGCUGUAUUUCCUGAUUCAAUGGUCUUUUCUAACUCAUUUGCACUAAGAUGCAAUUCUGCAUCAAGUGCCCAAGCCAAAUAGUUGUCUCCAGAAAUUUUCAAAAUAGAAAAAUCUAUUUUUGCCAAGUUCGCCAUCUAUUCUGGGUUAAAACACAAUUUUAUUAUUUAUUAAAACAAUAAAUAAUUGCAUGUAUGAAAUAUGGAAAAAAUAAACUACGUCACGAUCUCAAGUGGUGAUAAAAUGCAAAUAUAAAUAUUUUUAUAUUUAUAUUAUUAGCAUAUUAUUUUAGUAAAAAGAAUAUGCAAUCGUUAAUGUAUAUAUAUAUACAAUUAUAAAUAUAUAUAUAUAUAUAUAUAUAUAUAUAUAAAACUGCAAAUGGAUCUUCACCCGUCUUGCGAUAGAGACCGCAAAGACAGGUUAUUCUCAACAGAAUAAUAAAUGUGGAAUAAUAAAUACGGAACCAGGUCCGGUGUAAAACACACAGACAGGAUAUUCCAACAGAAUCGUAAAUACAGAAUAAUAAAAUGGAACCAGGUCCGGCGUAUAGCACAGACAGGAUAUUCCGACAUAAUAUUAAAUGCAGAAAUAUAAAAGGAUUUCACCAAGUACAGGGUAUGCCGCUUAUACAGGUUAUGUAUAGGGUAUGCCGCGUAUACAGGUUAUUCCAACCAGUAGCAUAAUAAUAAAUUGCAAGAAUUUAACUUUACCGUCUCAGUUGGUUAGAGUUUCGUGCUGAUAACGUGUUAUAAAAUUCUAGCGAAGUGUAUAAAAUAUACUCUUAUAAUUGCUCUAAUAAGAAUUUAGAAACAAGCAAGAGAGGAUAAAAUAAGAGAUAAGUAGAGAGAGAAAUUCCAGAGAGUUUCUUCUUAUUAAUUCUUUCAGAGAAUUUCUUGCAGAGAAAUUUUCUACUUCUAUCCUUCUGCAUUACCUCCCUUUAUAUAGGAAAGGAAAUGAGGAGGAGAAUAAUAAGGGAGGGGACAAGAUGAGCAAAUAAAGGGGAAAAGGAAGUUAAGGGAAAAGAGGGAGAUAAAAAAAACGGAUGAAAAACCCUCAUCAUGAGGGAAUCAUCUUUUUCUAACAUUUUUAAUGUGGAAAUAUGAUCAAUUUCUUUCUUUAAAACCUGCUACUUAAUUAGCAUUGAGUAGCUAGAAGAUGCUAAUAACAUUAGCCUCAACCCAACUGGCAACUGGUGAUAUGGUUUUAAUUCGGGCUUUGGCUGGGCUUUGACAGUGAUGAUAUAUAGAACGCAACACUGUACAUAAGAACCAUGCAUGCAUGCAUAAUACUAGCUAGCUAGCACUCCUCCAUUAUUUAUAUAUAUAUAUAUAUAUAUAUAUAUAUAUAUAUAUNN
rnacentral:lncRNA from 1 species